UGUGUCCAUGUUCGUAGUAAUCCUUGGCGAUGCGCUCUUGGUGAGGCCUCUGUCUGGCGCUUCAUUUUCCCUCCUUCUUUAAGUUCUCCCUUCAUUAAUCUUUCUCCUGCCUUCCUUUCUGAUUUUUUGUUUGUUUGUUUUGUUUUUUCUCCCCCAUGCUCUCUCUCCCUUUUUGUCUAGUCCAUUGUGCUAUUUUGAUAUCCCAGAAGGCUCUGUUCUGAGACUUCAGGCUAGCCAUCUUGCAGCCUGACCUCAAAGGCUUAUUAUGUGGAUGCAAAUAUUGGGGUUUGAAAAUGAGGUGCUAAAAGGGAGUGUUAAGUUUGCUAACUAGGUGCAGGAGCAACUAACUGGUAUCAGUCAUGAUUAUGACCUGCACAUCGCCUUGACUCACUGCAAACAGUUCUUCCCCACCCCACCCACCUGGUUGCCCUGUGCCUGUUCCUGGGAGUAGAGUUGCUUGUGCCCCCAAGGCUGUUGCUCUUCCAGGAUGAAUGAGGUCAGGGAUACCAGGUUGGAGCCUCAAACUAACUCUUAAAUAAGCAAAGCAUAUUUUCCCAUUCCCUGUGCAUUCGGAAGCCCUACAUAGGGAGACUGUUCAAUUCUGGCUCCUGACUGUCUGUCCAUGGAUCGCUCCUGAUUAGCCAGGCCCUUCAUUAUCAACAUCUGCUGGGCAAAGGGAAGCAACUUACUCCAAACCAUAAUAGAGGUGAUGCAGACUGUCUUCUUGGACAAUCUC
rnacentral:lncRNA from 1 species